rnacentral:rRNA from 1 species
GACGAACGCUGGCGGCGUGCUUAACACAUGCAAGUCGAACGGAAAGGCCUCUUUCGGGGGGUACUCGAGUGGCGAACGGGUGAGUAACACGUGAGUAACCUGCCCUUGACUUUGGGAUAACUUCAGGAAACUGGGGCUAAUACCGGAUAGGAGCUCCUGCUGCAUGGUGGGGGUUGGAAAGUUUCGGCGGUUGGGGAUGGACUCGCGGCUUAUCAGCUUGUUGGUGGGGUAGUGGCUUACCAAGGCUUUGACGGGUAGCCGGCCUGAGAGGGUGACAGGCCACAUUGGGACUGAGAUACGGCCCAGACUCCUACGGGAGGCAGCAGGGGGGAAGCUUGCACAAUGGGUGGAAGCCUGAUGCAGCAACGCCGUGUGCGGGAUGACGGCCUUCGGGUUGUAAACCGCUUUCGCUCAUGACGAAGCUUUGUGUGACGGUAGUGGGUAAAGAAGCACCGGCUAACUACGUG